GCAUUAAUGGGGUAGUGGUAACCUGGGUCGUUGCCAUCACGGGCUGUCGAUGUUAAUCGACCCGCCGGGGGUUCGAUUCCCUCUUAAUGCA